AAAUAAGCUUCCGGUUAUACGACGUCAUUAGUGGCUUCCGCUUCCGGUAAGAACAGAACAGUUUAAACGAAGAUUGUAGAGAGAGACCAUGCAUACAUUCGACACAGAUCAUGAUGGGUUUCAGAGCGAUCUCUCCUGUCCCCCUUUAGGGAUCCCUCACAGUGAAGCAUGAGGAUCAGAGUACAGCUGGACUGUGGAAGUCUUUCUCCUACCCAGUCAACAGAGAACACGUUCACACACAUCUAUGGAAAGGUUUUCCCAUACUUCUGUGAUCUGGAUGAAGACACAAACCACCCUCUGAAGCUGCUACCAGACUAUGUCUCUGUAGGGUCUGACAUCUCCAAGCGUCCUGAUGGCAAGGCAGACGAAUGCACAUCUCUUUGAAACCAAAKAAUCUAUUGGAGAAAUAAGUGAUCGACGACUGAAUGUGCUUCAAGCUAAUUUGAAUAAUUUAAUAGACCUCUCCUUGUUGAUUCCCAAAUCUUUUUCCUCAAACAAUCAGUUUCCUAUCAGUCCUUGGCUUGAUGAAAUCUAUCAGAUAUUUUUUUUUAUCGGAUGGUGUUGAAAGAGAAACAAUCGCAUUCAAUAAAGUCAAACUUUCUCAAUUGAGAUUGUAUUUUAA